ensembl:lncRNA LPAL2 lipoprotein(a) like 2 (pseudogene)
AGUCCCAAAAUGGAACAUAAGGAAGUGGUUCUUCUACUUCUGUUAUUUCUGAAAUCAGCACCGACUGAGACAGGGCCUUCUGUGCAGGAGUGCUACCACAGUAAUGGACAGAGUUAUCGAGGCACAUACUUCACCACUGUCACAGGAAGAACCUGCCAAGCUUGGUCAUCUAUGACGCCACACCAGCACAGUAGAACCCCAGAAAAGUACCCAAAUGAUGGCUUGAUCUCGAACUACUGCAGGAAUCCGGAUUGUUCGGCAGGCCCUUGGUGUUAUACGACGGAUCCCAAUGUCAGGUGGGAGUACUGCAACCUGACACGGUGCUCAGACGAUGAAGGGACUGUGUUCGUGCCUCUGACUGUUAUCCCAGUUCCAAGCCUAGAGGAUUCAUUCAUACAAGUCCUAGACGCACAACCGUUUUCUUCCCAAUCUGCCAGAAGCCAGAAGCUGAAGGCCUUGGCUCUCGUGAUCAAUGGUCUAGGGAAACGUGCGAGGUUUCCAUGUCUGUCCCCACCUCCGCCCUCAGCAGCCAAUCACCAUCUACAGUCUGCACUGCCAAAUGCGUAGCCCUUUAUUCUCUCAUGCCCCGUGAUCCCCAUGAACAUUCAGUAGAGAUCACUAGAGAGCAGUUUGCACGUGAGCGCAGUUUUCCAUAAGAAGCACUCUGAACUGUUGUUUUUCUCUAAGCUUUUACAUGAAAUAUUGGGAAGAACUUACUGCAUUUCUAGAAUGGUAGGAAUCUGUUCUUUUGGUGUUUGUUUGUUUUCUCAUGUUCAUCUGUGUACAAAUAAAAAAAAGAGAAUGGUC